GCAUCUCUAAUCGAACUCCCUCAUGAUGUAACGUUCAAACUAUGAGGGAGACCAUCAGACCAAGGUUUAUGAACGGCGUUACCGUAAAAAACUUUUGGGGGAGGUGUCAACAGGCUGUAUUGAGCGUGAGGAGCUAAGGGGAGGCUGUGGUGUGAGACGAGGUAGAGGUAAAAGAGAGACGGACGAGCGGCCGGUCCGGUGCGGCGGCGCGGCGCGUCGAGGUGCGGCGGCGUAGCGCGGCGAGGUGCGGCGGCGCGGUACGUCGAUGGGGCUCGGAGGAGGGCCACGAGACGGGGCGCGUCGAGAAGGAGGCCUGGAUUUUCAGUGAAGAAAGGUAGAGCUAGACCUCCCGUACCCCUGCUCCCGCCGUUGCUCGCGCGGACAACGGCGCCACUCGAGCCAUGAGAAGCCGUCUAGGGAAGGGGUCUGAGGCGAGGGCUGCUCUCGAGUAACGACCCCGAAGGGGGGUACCUGCUCCUCCUGCUGCUCACGACGGACCGCCUCAAGAAGGCCGACGAAGGACCUCGCCAGGUCCCUCUACCCGUCGAGAGGAUGACGACCACGCCGUCAAGACGGGCUACCUGAAGAAGGUCGUCAGGACCCGACGUAAUCGACCACCACCGUCCCGAAGUAGCUCGCCUCGACGUUCAUGUCUCUCGUCCCUAAAAUACACCUCGUUAAACUGUCUGACGAAGGGUUUUCUCUACCCUUUGUUACCUUGGAAGCUGUACGUGUAUUUAGUUACCUUGGAUACGUACCACGACUAUUGUUACUACCUGUUCUAUCUCCACUUCCACGACGACAGCGAGCAGUUGUGUCAAGAUUACUACUAUCACUACUACUACCCCUAUAGCCUCUAGGAAAAGAAUGGCUAUCUAAACCUUUAAACUGUUCAACCUCCAACUCACUAAACCUCCGUCGUCGCCUCUUAGUAGAACUUCUACCUCUUUCACUUUGUCUCCAUCUUCUUUUCUUUAUAAGGUUUUUUCUUUACGAUUUCGCACUACGACUGGCAUUCUUUGUCAUGUACCGUAUACGAAAUGUCUUUAUAUUGUUACUACUCCUAGAACGACCCCUCUACGCAAAACACAAACUACUUUCAUUUCUGCUUCAAAAGUAAUAACUUCCUUUGUACUUGAGGAUACUUGUGAAGUUGAAAUGUCGAUUCGUCCGACCAAGGUGACAAGAUAAAAAACGACUUCACACUAGGGUCUGCUUCCUCUUGACACAUUACAAGAAACGACGUUCGGAAACCUAAGACUACUGUUACCUGUAACGAAACCAACAUUCUUAGUUCCAAGACACCUGAACUCCGUAGGUCGACCGCUUUCAAACAUACAACCUCCAGUACACCUAACGCUCAAGGGUAAAUACACCCUAUCAUAGUCACUCCUACUGAGACUAACUCUCCCUUCUAUAGGAUCUACCGGUAUUUCUUACAGACUACCCCCGCAACCAGAAGAAGACAAUAAGAGGUUUAAAAUUGCAGAUACACCACGGUGAAAAUAAACCUCCCGCACAUAUUAUGCAAUGUGAUCGAUAUUAAUGAAGGUUUAAGGUUUAAGUAUUCCGUGCUUGCAAGAGAGUAGACAGAACGUCGCACUGACCCGACGUGUGGCAGGCUAGCCCCACACUAGCGCGUCGCCGCCACUAACCCUGCACUGCUCAAUCAUUACACAGUACGUAACUGACCCAGCGCGAUUAGAGG
rnacentral:rRNA from 1 species